CGAAAGCCUGACGGAGCAAGACCGCGUGAGGGAGGAAGGCUCUAGGGUUGUAAACCUCUUUUAUCAGGGAAGAAGCUCUGACGGUACCUGAGGAAUCAGCAUCGGCUAACUCCGUGCCAGCAGCCGCGGCAAUACGGAGGAUGCAAGCGUUAUCCGGAAUUAUUGGGCGUAAAGCGUCCGCAGGUGGUAAUUCAAGUCGAUUGUCAAAGACCGAAGCUUAACCUCGGAAAGGUAGUGGAAACUGAAUAACUAGAGUACGGUAGGGGUAGAGGGAAUUUCCAGUGUAGCGGUGAAAUGCGUAGAGAUUGGAAAGAACACCAGUGGCGAAGGCGCUCUACUGGACCGGCACUGACACUGAGGGACGAAAGCUAGGGGAGCG
rnacentral:rRNA from 1 species